rnacentral:lncRNA from 1 species
UUCACGGGUAGUAAGGUCGUCAUAUCGAGGAGCGUUUAGUACAGUGAUUUUGUCAUAGUUUGGAUAAGUUUGACAUGGCGGUGUUAAGUCUUUUUGAUGACAAUCAAUGCAAAAAUGUAAACAUUGGGAUAUUUUGUAAACGGAACUUCUGAUCAUUAGUUCAAGCUGGUAAGUACCUUUGUAUAAAGUAAAUAUGUUAGUACAUCACAAGUGGUAUCAUAUGGUUAAUGAUUUAACACAGAACAAAGCUUGCGUAUGUCAAAAUUUAAAACUUGCUAAUUGGUUUAUCGUACAUAAAAAAAGUUAUUUUCUUACAGUCUGUUACAUCACAUAUAUCUUCGUGAUAUAACACUGCGGUCAAUUAUUCUGAAAAAUACAUACUUUUGCAAUCAAUUCAAAAUUACUGAAAUAUCUGUGUCAUGGUUUGGUUCAUUAGUGUCAUGGUUAAGUUCAUGUUCGACAUGGUUCAGUUAUGUAAUUAUUCUCGUGUAUAAUGAAGAGUUACUAUCAAAAUUCAAAAAAAUCGUUCCAUUUGAAACACAAAAGGACAUAAAAACGCACAAACAAUGUAGUAAUAUGUUUUAAGUAGAUGCAAUAUGAUUGCCAAUGAGAUAACUAUCCACCUGAGAUCAAAUGACGUAGAUAUUAGCAGCUAUUUGUCAUCAAGAGGCCUUCAAUAUUCAACAAUGAGCAAAACCAUAUUUCUUAGCAAGAUAUAAAAGGCUGCGACAAAAUUCAAUGUAUAGGAAUUCCAAUUAGAAAAUCAUCAGCCUAAUUUCUGUCCAAAAUAAAUAGCAAAAUAUGAUACACAGUUACAUACGAUAUUCACGGCAUUACAGACACUUAACUUGAGACAGUAUAUACAAAAUAUUGCGGAGAAAAACAUGUUUGCGGGCUGCCCAACCUCUUCUUCGCCUUAACCAUGCCACACAUGUAAACUCACCAGAUCGGGUUUAAACAAGAAAAUCAAGUAACAGAAACACUUAAGACACAAAUAAAUAACGAUAUAUAUUUAACACUGUAGUUUCAUUAAUUGAAUAGCAUUAUAUGAAACAAUAUUGAGAGGAUCCUAUUUUUCAAUAUUUGUUUUUUAUUCUUUAAAUCUUUUAUUGCCGCAGUCAUAUUAUAAACUUGAAUCCAAAAGAACUAAUUAAACAAUACUGCGUUUAUUUAUUUCAGAAGCCAUGCAAAGUUUGACCAACCCCGAAGAUCUACUGCUAAACGUAAAUAGUGCAAUCGUGAACCCAUAUGAUGGAUUUGCACAUGGUGCUCAAGGAAUUCGUCUGUACCAUAGGAAAGAUGAAGAAAAAAUCUUUCCUCAUAAAAGAG